rnacentral:rRNA from 1 species
CCUACGGGUGGCUGCAGUGGGGAAUAUUGGACAAUGGGCGAAAGCCUGAUCCAGCCAUGCCGCGUGUGUGAAGAAGGCCUUCGGGUUGUAAAGCACUUUCAGUGGGGAAGAAAGCCUUGGGGCUAAUACCCUCGAGGAAGGACAUCACCCACAGAAGAAGCACCGGCUAACUCCGUGCCAGCAGCCGCGGUAAUACGGAGGGUGCGAGCGUUAAUCGGAAUUACUGGGCGUAAAGCGCGCGUAGGCGGUCUGAUAAGCCGGUUGUGAAAGCCCCGGGCUCAACCUGGGAACGGCAUCCGGAACUGUCAGGCUAGAGUGCAGGAGAGGAAGGUAGAAUUCCCGGUGUAGCGGUGAAAUGCAUAGAGAUCGGGAGGAAUACCAGUGGCGAAGGCGGCCUUCUGGACUGACACUGACGCUGAGGUGCGAAAGCGUGGGUAGCAAACAGGAUUAGAUACCCCAGUAGUC